GUGUGUGUGUGUGGAAAGGUUCUAUUUUAUUAUAAUGAGCCUUCCAUUCAUCUGCUAUGAUGCAUUCAUUCUAGAACUAACUGCUUCCACACAGAACAGUCACUAAGAGCCUGGACUGAGACACUUCUCGACACUUUAAUUUGCCUCAGUUUGCAUUAAUCUAUUAUCCAGCCAUCUCAUGUUCUUCUAUGUCUUUUUCAGGUGACUUGGAGAGCUGGGUUGAGAAGAAGAAGCCAGUAUCCUGGGAAGGUGGACAGGAGAUCAGAUGCAUGAUGGUACAAGACGUCCAUUACAAGCUCGUCCCAGAAAUGAAGAAACAAAGGAGGUUCUGGAGCCUCAGAGAGAAGGUUAAGGUUAAGGUUAAGGUUAAGGUUUGUAACUGCACCCACACAUGCACACACAAACAUACAGCACAUACCCUUCUUGGGCAGCACGGUGGCUCUGUGAUUAGCACUGUGGCACCACAGAGAGAAGAUGCUGCCAUCUUCUCGAUGUCUCCAUUCUUCCCUCUGUGUGGAGUUAACAUGUUCUCCUAGUGCUUGCGUGGGUUUUCUCCGGGCACUCCGGUUUCCUCCCACACUAAAAAAAACAUGAAACUCAGGUGAAUUAAAUUCAAAUAUAAUUAA